ACUAUUUUGGCAGAAAAGUGCUAUGGAUUUAGGAUCCAUUUAUGUAAGGAAUUUACAAAUAGUA
rnacentral:tRNA from 1 species